rnacentral:rRNA from 1 species
GACGCUGGCGGCAGGCCUAACACAUGCAAGUCGAGCGGUAGGAGAGAAGCUUGCUUCUCUUGAGAGCGGCGGACGGGUGAGUAAUGCCUAGGAAUCUGCCUGGUAGUGGGGGAUAACGUUCGGAAACGGACGCUAAUACCGCAUACGUCCUACGGGAGAAAGCAGGGGACCUUCGGGCCUUGCGCUAUCAGAUGAGCCUAGGUCGGAUUAGCUAGUUGGUGAGGUAAUGGCUCACCAAGGCGACGAUCCGUAACUGGUCUGAGAGGAUGAUCAGUCACACUGGAACUGAGACACGGUCCAGACUCCUACGGGAGGCAGCAGUGGGGAAUAUUGGACAAUGGGCGAAAGCCUGAUCCAGCCAUGCCGCGUGUGUGAAGAAGGUCUUCGGAUUGUAAAGCACUUUAAGUUGGGAGGAAGGGUUGUAGAUUAAUACUCUGCAAUUUUGACGUUACCGACAGAAUAAGCACCGGCUAACUCUGUGCCAGCAGCCGCGGUAAUACAGAGGGUGCAAGCGUUAAUCGGAAUUACUGGGCGUAAAGCGCGCGUAGGUGGUUUGUUAAGUUGGAUGUGAAAUCCCCGGGCUCAACCUGGGAACUGCAUUCAAAACUGACUGACUAGAGUAUGGUAGAGGGUGGUGGAAUUUCCUGUGUAGCGGUGAAAUGCGUAGAUAUAGGAAGGAACACCAGUGGCGAAGGCGACCACCUGGACUAAUACUGACACUGAGGUGCGAAAGCGUGGGGAGCAAACAGGAUUAGAUACCCUGGUAGUCCACGCCGUAAACGAUGUCAACUAGCCGUUGGAAGCCUUGAGCUUUUAGUGGCGCAGCUAACGCAUUAAGUUGACCGCCUGGGGAGUACGGCCGCAGGGUUAAAACUCAAAUGAAUUGACGG